rnacentral:rRNA from 1 species
UGGGGAAUCUUCCGCAAUGGACGAAAGUCUGACGGAGCAACGCCGCGUGAGUGAAGAAGGUUUUCGGAUCGUAAAACUCUGUCUUUUGGGGCGAACGUGAGUAUGGUGAACAAUCAUAGUCAGUGACGGUACCAAAGGAGGAAGCCACGGCUAACUACGUGCCAGCAGCCGCGGUAAUACGUAGGUGGCAAGCGUUGUCCGGAAUUAUUGGGCGUAAAGAGCGCGUAGGCGGGAUAGUCAGUCUGUUGUAAAAGUGCGGGGCUCAACCCCGUGAUGGCAAUGGAAACAGCUAUUCUUGAGUGCAGGAGAGGAAAGUGGAAUUCCCAGUGUAGCGGUGAAAUGCGUAGAUAUUGGGAGGAACACCAGUGGCGAAGGCGACUUUCUGGACUGUGUCUGACGCUGAGGCGCGAAAGCCAGGGGAGCGAACGGGAUUAGAUACCCCGGUAGUCCUGGCCGUAAACGAUGGGUACUAGGUGUGGGAGGUAUCAACCCCUUCCGUGCCGGAGUUAACGCAAUAAGUACCCCGCCUGGGGAGUACGGUCGCAAGACUGAAACUCAAAUGAAUUGACGGGGUCAUAGCUGUUUCCUG